UACGUAGGGGGGCUAGCGUUGUCCGGAAUCAUUGGGCGUAAAGAGCGCGUAGGCGGCCAGAUAAGUCCGGUGUGAAAGUCACAGGCUCAACCUGUGAAUGCCGCUGGAAACUGUCUGGCUAGAGUCCGGAAGGGGCGAGUGGAAUUCCUGGUGUAGCGGUGAAAUGCGCAGAUAUCAGGAGGAACACCAAUGGCGAAGGCAGCUCGCUGGAACGGUACUGACGCUGAGGCGCGAAAGCGUGGGGAGCAAACAGG
rnacentral:rRNA from 1 species